rnacentral:lncRNA from 1 species
UUCCUCAAAAUGGCUGCACUUUCUGUUCUGAUGGUAGAAUUCAUGCAUCAUGUGAAAAAUUGAAUGUGAAGCAGUGGAUUGGUGGUGUCUCCUUAGUCAGGUACUGGUAACAGCCUGGGUACUUUUUUCUGAUGUAUCAGACUAAAGUGAAGUGUCUUACUGCCAGGAAUCUCUUCUGCAACAGCUCCCAGGUCUCUUAAUACACACUACAUCCUAUUGCUGUUUGAGAGAUUUAUGGGAAAGUGCUCUAGUUGUACAUCUAGUGGAGUGUCUCGAAACUGGAAGAAUUUGUUGUUUUCUGUUUCUGGGAGGGAUGUUUGGAUGAGCCCAUUAGUGUGACACAAAGGAACAGGGCAGACAGCCUUACUGAAGUAAGUCCAUUAUUUGUUUUGAUUCAUAGUUUAAAACAGUAAGUGUAAUUUACUUCUAAUUAUUGCAAAGUAUUUAUCUUGUAAUAAAAAAGAAAACGCAGAAGGUAACUGAAAACUUUUGUUUACAGUUGGAAUCAAACUGGAAAGGUCUGCAAGAAGCUGGGGCUCCUACAGCUGGCCAGUGUUGGGACACGAAUGGCAAAUACCACAGAAUAUAAAGGUUUCUGACCUUCCUGGAACAGAGAAAUUGCUGGGAUCUUACAUGUGGCUUGUGUGGGAUCAGACACCUCUGAGUCGAUGCACUGCUAUUGACUGUAAGAGUUCACUGCUUUGUCAGCUGGCUGAAUCCAGCUGGAUCAUCCAAUCCUGCUUUAAAGCAAAUCCCACAAUCUGUGACACUUAUCUUCAAUUUGAUCCUGUAGGAUGGCAGCUGUUCUCUCUCAUUUAAGCAACUGUUCACUUGAAGAUAUUAAGCAGCUUCCAUCUGCCUGGAAGCACC